rnacentral:rRNA from 1 species
GAUGAACGCUGGCGGCGUGCCUAAUACAUGCAAGUCGAGCGAACGGACGAGAAGCUUGCUUCUCUGAUGUUAGCGGCGGACGGGUGAGUAACACGUGGAUAACCUACCUAUAAGACUGGGAUAACUUCGUGAAACCGGAGCUAAUACCGGAUAAUAUUUUGAACCGCAUGGUUCAAAAGUGAAAGACGGUCUUGCUGUCACUUAUAGAUGGAUCCGCGCUGCAUUAGCUAGUUGGUAAGGUAACGGCUUACCAAGGCAACGAUGCAUAGCCGACCUGAGAGGGUGAUCGGCCACACUGGAACUGAGACACGGUCCAGACUCCUACGGGAGGCAGCAGUAGGGAAUCUUCCGCAAUGGGCGAAAGCCUGACGGAGCAACGCCGCGUGAGUGAUGAAGGUCUUCGGAUCGUAAAACUCUGUUAUUAGGGAAGAAAAUAUGUGUAAGUAACUGUGCACAUCUUGACGGUACCUAAUCAGAAAGCCACGGCUAACUACGUG